AUCCAGUUGACGAGUCUCAAAUAGGACGAAACGUGCGUGAAAGUGGAU
rfam:Schistosoma rodhaini strain Burundi genome assembly, scaffold: SROB_scaffold0000516